rnacentral:rRNA from 1 species
UACGGAGGGUGCGAGCGUUAAUCGGAAUUACUGGGCGUAAAGCGCACGUAGGCGGUUAGGUAAGUCGGAUGUGAAAGCCCUGGGCUUAACCUGGGAACUGCAUUCGAUACUGCCUGGCUAGAGUAUGGGAGAGGGAAGCGGAAUUUCCGGUGUAGCGGUGAAAUGCGUAGAUAUCGGAAGGAACACCAAUGGCGAAGGCAGCUUCCUGGCCCAAUACUGACGCUCAGGUGCGAAAGCGUGGGG